CGCGUGAGGAACCUGCCUUCCAGAGGGGGACAACAGUUGGAAACGACUGCUAAUACCGCAUGACGCAUGACCGGGGCAUCCCGGGCAUGUCAAAGAUUUUAUCGCUGGAAGAUGGCCUCGCGUCUGAUUAGCUAGAUGGUGGGGUAACGGCCCACCAUGGCGACGAUCAGUAGCCGGACUGAGAGGUUGACCGGCCACAUUGGGGCUGAGAUACGGCCCAG
rnacentral:rRNA from 1 species